rnacentral:rRNA from 1 species
UCAGGAUGAACGCUGGCGGUCUGCUUAACACAUGCAAGUCGAACGCAACCUUCGGGUUGAGUGGCGGACGGGUGAGUAACGCGUGAGAAUCUGCCUUGGGGUCGGGGACAACCACUGGAAACGGUGGCUAAUACCGGAUAAGCCUUUGGGUAAAAGAUUUAUUGCCCCAAGAGGAGCUCGCGUCUGAUUAGCUAGUUGGUGAGGUAAAAGCUCACCAAGGCAGCGAUCAGUAGCUGGUCUGAGAGGACGAUCAGCCACACUGGGACUGAGACACGGCCCAGACUCCUACGGGAGGCAGCAGUGGGGAAUUUUCCGCAAUGGGCGAAAGCCUGACGGAGCAAGACCGCGUGAGGGAGGAAGGCUCUUGGGUUGUAAACCUCUUUUCUCAGGGAAGAAGCUCUGACGGUACCUGAGGAAUCAGCCUCGGCUAACUCCGUGCCAGCAGCCGCGGUAAUACGGAGGAGGCAAGCGUUAUCCGGAAUUAUUGGGCGUAAAGCGUCCGCAGGUGGCGAUUCAAGUCUGCUGUCAAAGCACGGGGCUUAACUCCGUUAAGGCAGUGGAAACUGAAUAGCUAGAGUGCCGUAGGGGUAGAGGGAAUUCCCGGUGUAGCGGUGAAAUGCGUAGAGAUCGGGAAGAACAUCGGUGGCGAAAGCGCUCUACUGGACGGCAACUGACACUCAGGGACGAAAGCUAGGGGAGCGAAUGGGAUUAGAUACCCCAGUAGUCCUAGCUGUAAACGAUGGAUACUAGGUGUAGCUUGUAUCGACCCGAGCUGUGCCGAAGCUAACGCGUUAAGUAUCCCGCCUGGGGAGUACGCACGCAAGUGUGAAACUCAAAGGAAUUGACGGGGGCCCGCACAAGCGGUGGAGUAUGUGG